rnacentral:rRNA from 1 species
GACGAAGGUGGCGAGCGUUGUUCGGAAUCACUGGGCAUAAAGCGCACGUAGGCGGUGCCGGAAGUCAGAUGUGAAAUCCCUCGGCCUAACCGAGGAACUGCGUCUGAUACUGCGGUGCUUGAGGAUCAGAGGGGUGCAUGGAAUUUCCGGUGGAGCGGUGAAAUGCGUUGAUAUCGGAAGGAACUCCGGCGGCGAAAGCGAUGCACUGGCUGAUUUCUGACGCUGAGGUGCGAAAGCCAGGGGAGCAAACGGG